GACGUCAUUAUUGUUAAUAUUCAGUUUGAAAUUUAAAUAGUCAAAAUUUAUGUUUAAAAGUUUAGUCACAAUAAUGGAACACCUACUACAUAUUAGAACUGACACUAUUAUUCUGAAAAUAAAGGUUGAGGUGAAAUUUUUGAAGUAACCAAAUCGGAUGAAAUAAUGAAAAUAUCACAGCAAAUAAUCUCAGUAGGGAAACUCCAAAUGAGGUAUUAACAUUAGGUCAGCAAGAAGUGUCAACAGGUCAUACCUCAUUGAAACCUUAUCCUAAAACAUCAAAAGAUAUUUCAUCAAAAUGCACAUGGGGCGAAUUCGGAAAGUCAGCACUGUUUAAUGCGCUGGUCAGCGCUGAACCAGCAGAAUGUCGUU